CUCUCACGGCCCCCGGUUUGCUGGGAGUCUUGUCAAUCACCGCUCCCCCUCCCCGUGCUGCUCCCUCGGCACCUCCGUACUUCGUUUACCCCGCCCACCCGGCCCCGCCUCUGGGUUUCUAAUUUCCCAUUGGGCAUCAGUGGCUACUUUCAAUAGGCAAGGUCAGCUGUCCAUCAAACACCGCCCACUAAGUGAGACCCAACCCUUUAUUACCAUUUACUUUAUUCGGCCCCGCCUCCGCUAGGUCCUACCUCCCGAACGUCAGGGACCAGCCCCCGCUACCAGCCAUAAGUAGAGCCCUCCGUCAAUCAAAUAACGCCCACCUGCGCUCCUCCUAGCAAAGCCCCGGCCCCAGCGAUUGUCUUUUCUUAUUGGUCCAACUCGUGAUCCGAACCCCCAGUCACUGGCUUUCUUGCGGGUCAGUCACUGAGCCAAUUUCCAAGUCCGUCACACCGGCUUUUUUCAAAUGAACGCGCAAAAGGCGGGGAAGUAUCUGGAAAGCGAUUGGUUCGUCCUAGAAAACGGUCAAACCCGGAGAGUCUGUACGGAUCCUUUCCGUUCUGUGAGGACCGUGCCCCCUUGUAUUUGACCUCUAAGCCUCGCGUAAAAGAAGCGCCAUAAGGGACCAACGAGCAGUCCAGCUAUAGGUGUGGACGCCUGGUCCCACCCGGAAUUGCAGGGGCUUGGCUACUGAUUGGCUAAGAAAGUCCUCCUAGGCCCUCAUUGGAGGAUCUAAACGCCUCUCUUCGGCGUGGAGACGGGAAGGGACGACUCAGACGAGGACAAGAAGUGGGCAGGGGAGAGGCGGUUGUUUUGCUUCAGCCGCGGGUGGGGCGCAGGCGAGAGUGGGAAACUGGGAAGGCCGGGCUCUGGGGAGGUGUUGCGGGGAGGGGAAAGGCCCGGAUGUUCCCUAACAAUGAAAUCAUCGCCGACCUAUCAGAGCCGCCGAGCUGGGAUACCUGCCUGACCUGUACCCCGGAGGGAGAAGAGUGGGCGGGAAAUUGGGGUGUCGGAAGAACCUGGAAAGCAACGUGAGAAAGUGGGACAGGUGUUCCCUUCAGGAGGAUUUUGUGCUAUUAGAGAUUAUUUUUAUACCAGCCCUUGACAUUUCCGUAUUUUGUUUCUCAGUCGGCAUUGAUAUUAAAACUCCCAGCCUAGUCUCUUGACAUGGACUUGUUCAUUUCGCAGUUAUUGAGCGCCUACUGUUUGCCAGGUACUGUAUGUAGAACUGGAGAUACAAAAAUAAAUUAGGCAAUCGCAGUACAAGAUGAUAGGUACUACAAUUGAAACAUGCACAAGGGCUGGUGACGACAUAAAGGGUCUUCCUUGUGCAUAGGUUUACCAAGAAAGGCUUCACAAAGACACAGGAUGAGUCAAGAAUGAAUGAUAGGGGUUUAACAGGCCGAUGGGGAAAGUGGACAUGACUCCUCCAGCUAUCAAAUUAGACGAUGCUGCCAUGUUAAUUCUCCAAACGAGAAACAAAAGUGUAAUAGAGAUCUUAUUAACUGUGUGUUUUCCUCUUCGAGAACUUGUAUCGUCAAUAACGUCAUCGUGAACCAGACUAGCAGUGUGGAUCAUUUCUGCAAUUAAGGCUAUGGCGCGGUGGCUGGCUUGCACAUGUCAAAUUAACAGACAGCAAUGCUUUUUAACAGACGCCGCCUAGAACCUUCUCAGCAAUCAGCUUGUGAAAAUUGGACAUCGGAUCGGGAGUUGUUAUGAUGGAUAUUACAUGCUCGGGCCAUUAGCACCCCAAUAAUUGGUCGAAAGGCUUUUCCUUUUCCAUCAAAGUAGUACUCAGACAUUUCCUGAA